rnacentral:rRNA from 1 species
UGACCUCGGAUCAGGUAGGAAUACCCGCUGAACUUAAGAAGAACAA